GACGAACGCUGGCGGCGUGCUUAACACAUGCAAGUCGAACGAAGUGGCGAACGGGUGAGUAAUACGUGAGUAACCUGCCCUCCUUUUUGGGAUAAGCCUUGGAAACGGGGUCUAAUACCGAAUAAAGGGGGAUGGGCUCGCGGCCUAUCAGCUUGUUGGGGGGGUGAUGGCCUACCAGGGCGGUGACGGGUAGCCGGCCGGAGAGGGUGACCGGCGACAUUGGGACGGAGAUACGGCCCAGACUCCGACGGGAGGCAGGAGUGGGGGAUAUUGCACAAUGGGCGAAAGCCUGAUGCAGCGACGCGGCGUGGGGGAUGAAGGAUGUCGGGUUGUAAACCUCUGUCGCGAUCGAAGGGGUAGGUGGAGAAGAAGCGCCGGCUAACUACGUGCCAGCAGCCGCGGUAAUAC
rnacentral:rRNA from 1 species